CUGUAUGUUGCAGAGGAAAGCCACAUCACGUGGGCAGAGUACUCACUCAGGAAAUAACUUGAUCUGUAACUGCAUCUAAAAUAGGAGGAGGUAGCAGUGUUGCCGUGCAAGGAUUUCUCUUCUGUUUCGUCUACAUCUGUUCGUUCCUUCUAAUAUGAUGUCAACAUGAUUCAUUUGUAUCAAAAUGUCACAAUUAUUCACAAUAUUUAAAUUUUUCAUCAACUGUUUCAAAAUAAAUCUUAUUAACUGUUUUAACAAUUGUUUUCUGAUUUUUUUAAAACAUUAUUCACAUUGGCCUAUAUGUUCAUGCCAGCUGAAGAACUGAACCACUAGCGUUACAAGGAAGUGUUAACGUGCACGUCUGUCUGCCUCUGCCCAUGUUGUGUUGUUAGCUAUUGGAAACGGAUAAUUAUCAAAAUAAUAUAAAUCUAAAGAACAGCGCGUGAGAGGUAACCUCUGAGAGACGACAUAAAAACAAAGUCACUCACCUGUGCAAUGGCGAGGGAACGCUCCCCAAAUGUUUAUGGGGGUCCUCCUCCCCAGUCAGAUCUUAGACUCCUGCUGCUUGGGAGAGUAGGAGCUGGGAAGAGUACAGUAGCCAAAACCAUCCUGGGCAGCGAUAACUUCCGGAGUGAAGGAGGCAUGUGUGUGAAGAAGCAGGGUGGAAGGGCCGUCACCGUGGUGGACACCCCGGGCUGGGACACUGUGAAAUACACGUCCACACACAUCAAACAAGAAAUUAAGAAGUGUGACCCUAUGUUCUCCAGGACCCCAUGCUCUUCUUCUGGUGGUGCCCAUGGCCAACCCGCUCUCCUCCGCAGAAAGAAAGGCGAUUCGGUAUCACAUGGAGCUAUUGUCAGUUAGGGCAUGGAAGUUUACCAUGGUCUUGUUUGUCAGUGAGGCUGAGGAGAAAUGCACAUCCAUUGAACAGAAUCAGAUGAUCGACAAAGCAAAAAGUAUGCUAGCGAAAUGUGGAGACAGACACCAUCUCCUUGAGUGUGGCAAUUCUCCUUCCCAGAUUUCUGAGCUCCUGAUAAAGCUAGACGCCAUGGUAGCAGAAAACUGUGAAGAAUUCUUAAUCCCCCAAGUAUACGAUGAACUGAUGGAGACCAUGCCAAGGGAAGUGACCGAGCUGAGAAGGAUGUAUGAGAGGACAGACUGAGAGGACAGACUGAAACGGAAAUACAAAACAGAUUUGAAGGAAAAGGAAGAAGAGCUGAAGAAGUAUAGAGAAGAAGAGAAGCCUAAAGAAAGGUUGAUGAAGAGGACAAGUAGCAGUCACUUACCUCCCCCCCCAGUAUAAGCACAGAGAAGCAGGACGGGUCGGUAAUGGCUGACCAUCAGAAGGUGGACCUACAGGCCGUCAAGCAAGGAUACAGGGAAGAGGCCUUGUCUGUGGUGGGCCACUACGUCAAACCACUAAUAGUGAUUAUGACUGCUGUAGUGGGGGCACUCAUGGGAGCAGUUGCAGGUGCAGAACAUGGAACACUUGGCGCAUGUAUUGGGAUUCCUAUAGGCAUUAUUUUGGCUGUUCUUGUGAGUUAUGCUGUCCGUGGAGCCGCCACAGCAGCAAGGGAUAUUUCCAUCGCAGUCAAAGCCGAGGGAAAUGAAAGCCAGAGGAGAGAAGAGCGAGCAGGCUUCUUCAAAAUCUAAAAGAUUUGAUAAGGAUCAGUGACACUCUUUUGUGUAGUAGUGUAUGGACUGUGCUGUAUGGACUGUGCUGUAUGGACUGUGCUGUAUGGACUCUCUUGGUUCACCUGACUUGACUGGCUGACCCCAGUGAAGAGACAGGACAGACUGCCCAGCAAACCGGGAACAUACCCAGAACAUAAGAAAGGGUUUUUAUACAAAAUUAGGACGUUCUCCUAACAUUCACAAAACGCACAACAUCUGUAACAACCACCAUUCCCCAAACAACAUUCUCGUUAUGUUUCCUGCUAAUGUAAUAACACAAUGUACCAGCAAUGUUUUUUGAACAUACUGCUGCAACAAAAUGUAUGCGCAACGUUCUGGGAACGUUCUUGCAACAUCAGGCAAAUGUUUAUACAAACAUUGUAUAAUCAUCAGCACGACUGGACAGUUUUUGUGUUAUGAUAACAUUUGCCGCAACCUAACAAAUGUUCUGGGAGUUUUCAGAGAAACAAUUUUGGUUUGUUAGACGCUCUUUCUCUCUCGCCCUCUCUCUCUCGCUCUCUCUCUCGCCCUCUCUAUCUCUCUCGCCCUCUCUCUCUCUCUCUUGCCCUCUCUCUCUCUCUC